UGAGUGGUGCUGGUACCACCUGCGAGUUAACUGUUUCAGCUGCUUUGCUUCUGUGCUCCUCAGGGUAGACCCACAGGCUGGGCAGCGAGGCAGAAGUUCAGCUUCCCCAGCGGUGCUGACGGAGCAAUCGGUGUUAGCUGAGCUCUUUCACUGAAUGAAUCCAGGCAACCCUGUGUGUUGCUUCCCGAAGCGAGCAGCGGACCUUGCGAGAGCGUAUCAAGGCUGCUCUAAUGUAUGAAGUCCCCUGCUGAAACGCGAUGUCGAAUGAAAGCAAUCUAGAGCAGGCGCUUUCUACAACCACCGUCAGUUCAGUUGCGGUCCAGGCUGGGGCUUCCAGGAUUGUUAUAGCUGUACUUAAGUGUGGAAAAUGGGUGAAUCUUCAGCUGGCUGAAUCGACACCAAAUUUAUUAGAAAUUGGCAGCAAUCAAGACGAGACUCAAAAGCUGCUGCAAGAUCAUGAACUUCUCCUGGCUAAACUUAAGACUUUGGAAGACCAAGUGUGGGACCUGCUGCAUGAAGCCGACAAGGCUGCAGAGGAGAACAAGGAGCAGAGCCAGGUGUACGAUGCUAUGGCAGAGACCCUUGGGGAUGCGUGGGAUGCUCUCAUCGUUAUGUUAGAGAAGCGAAAGGCACUUUUGGAACUUACAGCGGUGUUCUUCGAAAAUGCUCUGGAGUUUGCUGUUAAAAUUGAUCAAGUUGAAGAUUUCCUGAGAAAUGCCCAAGGGUUUGAAAAUAUUGACUCUUUGAGAGAACUCCUUCUGCAACAAGAACAUCAUACGAAAGAACUCUUGGAAAAGUCACUGGCCCUUUUAAACAAAAGUCAAGAGCUAACUGAAUUCAUAGAAGGAUUCAAAUCUGAGGGGCCAAAUGCAAAUCCUGAACUGAUUCAGGGAGCCCACAGCAGCUGCUUGAAAAUUGACAAUCUCCUUGAACUAUUACAAGACAGGAGACGGCAACUGGACAGAUUUCUCAGACAUCAGCGCCAAGGACUGGAGCAGGUUCUGCAUAUUUGUUUGUGGCACCAACAAGAGAACCAGGUAACAUCUUGGUACAAGAACAACAUCAGAGAUUAUUUUCACAGGCAAACACUAGGCUCAUCUUUACUGGAAAAUGAAGAACUAAUUCAAGAGCACAGUGAAAUGGAAGUCAAAGUAAAAGAAUGGAAUUCUGCUGUGGAACAACUGAAGGCUGAAGCACUUAAGGUCUUGCUUUGGGAGGACUCUGCUGACAAGGAGCAUCUGAAGCUUUCAAAUCAGAAAAUCUGUCUGCUGCAAGAAGAGGUGUGCUGCCAUAUGGAAGAAAGGAAGGCCUUGCUACAAGAGGCCAAUGACUUCUUAAAUGCUGCUAAUAAGGCCCUUGGUGCUCUUGAAGGUAUUGAGAAUUACCUUAAAAUCCUUAAUUCAGAAGGCUUAAGUUUGCCUAUCUUGGCAAUGAAGUAUGAGGAAUUACAGGAAGAAAUUAAAGACUGCACAGCCAGUACCUUGCAAAAGGGACAAACUUUAGUUAAUAAAGCAGAUUCUCACAGCUCUUGGGCAAUGGGAAUUCAGAAAAUGAUGGAGUAUGUUCAGAAAAAAGUAGAUCUGCUAAUCGAACAGUGUCCAAGUUACAACGAACUUACUUUGAAGAAACAACAAUUGACUGCAUCACUUGAAGAUCAUCUAAAUAAGGUAUCACAAUCAAUUAAAAAAAUCACCCCGAUGCUUUUAACUGGUAUGGAGAUUGGUUCUUACUUGUCCGAGUCUGAAGGAGCUUUGAACAAACAUCUUGAGCUGGCUAAUCAAACAAAGGAAGCUUCACAUGAACUGGAAGCAGCUGAGAGAAUCAUAAAAGAUUUGGAAGAAUUUGAACCUGUGCAAGUGGCAGCUUUUUCUAGCAAAGCCAACUUUCUGAAUGAAGAACUGAAAAAAAUUAAAAGAAAUAUUUGUUCAAAACUAGAAAUUCUAGAAACUUAUGUGGCCUUUUUAAAAUCAGCAAUGGAGGUGAAUGACUAUAUUCGAGAUCUAAAGCAGCUGUAUGCAUCUGAAGCUCUACAAGCAAGCAGGGAAGCUGAAAAUAAAACUGCAAUUGAGUCGGCUAAUACUUGGUGGCAAAAGGCUAUAAAGAAAAUUUUUUCCACCCAAGAUAUGGGUCACAAUUUUCUUAAUUUAGUAAAUAUGCAGGUAAAUGAGAGUUUAAUAUUAAAGGUAGAAAAAUCUGUACAAGUAACAGAAGACACCAUUAUGAAUCUGCAUAAAGAAAAGAAAGAACUGACUGAUCUUUGGGCAAGCUGGAAUUAUAAAAUUAAUCAAGUAAAACCCAUUAAGCAGCAGUGCUGGAUAUUUAAAGAACAACUCAAAAAGACUGCCCAUGGGUUAGAGAGUCUUCAAGGGGCGCUCGGACUUGCCGCAGUAGUUGACCUUGGAAGUGACCUUUGUAUUAUUUUAGAACUGCAAAAAAAGCUUAACGAAAUGAAACCACAGCUUCAGCAACUGAAUGCUGAGCUUGAGUACAUGGUAAAAUUAUUAGAACUGCUGAGCCAAGAAGGAUUUUCCGGCAAAGAGAAUCCUGAGAGAGUAAGUGAACUUAUUCAUCUCCAUCAAACAGUAAAGGACACAAUGACAGAAUAUGAUGAUGUUUUCGGCAAGACAGUCCAAUUCCAUCAUCUUAAAAGAGAACUGGAAUCUCUGUCAAAAUCAGGAGAACUGGAUAUUCCUGAAAUAAGUGAGGGCCCUGAAGAUGUGCACCAUGCGAAAGCCUAUCUGGUGAAUGCGCAGGAGAAACAUGCAUGGAUCAGGCAUCUAUAUAGACUGGUUCUUACCCAGGGAGUGAAUAUUGUGUCUGCAGUGCAGCAACCUAAUCGCUUAAAUGUUUCCGUAAAGAAUCUAAAGCAGGAACUUGCUAGACUUGAGUAUGACAGCAUUAACUGGAGCUCCAAAGCAGAUGAGUAUGAGGAAGAAUUGUCACUGAAUUACCAGUACUGCACCACUCAGGAGGAGAUAAAUGAGCUCAGAGAAUCAUUUAAGGAUCUCAAAAAGAAAUUCAACAAUUUGAAGUUUAACUAUACUAAGAAAACUGAAAAAGCUCGAAAUUUGAAAGUACUUAAAAUACAGAUUCAGCAAGUCGAUAUGUGUGCUGAGAAAAUACAGAUUCUUAAAAAGAAGAUGGAUAAUUUAGAGAAGAAAAUCACUGGUUCUGUGGCAAAUCAACCUAAUGCUAAAGUCAAAGUCCUCUUAGGGUCAGUUAGUGAGUUACAAAAACAGCUGAAUGACUUUGGCAAAGUUGUGGAGGAUUACAAGCAAAAUCUGGAUCUCGUGGAGCAUCUACAACAGAUGAUGGAAGAGUGUCAAUUUUGGUUUGAAGAUGUGAGUGCAACAGUUAUUAGAGUUCGCAAGUAUUCUUCAGAGUGUAAGACAAGAGAAGCAAUAGAGUCUCUCUACAAGCAAUUCAAUAAGUUUAUUGAGCCCACAGUGCCUCAACAAGAAGAAAAAAUUCAGGAGAUUACAGAGCUUGCUAAACGUUUAUAUGGUAUUGAAGAAGGAAAGAAAUAUGCUGAAAAAACCAUAUUGAAGCACAAAGAAGUCCUUAACUCUGUUGAUGAGUUGUGUAGAUCUCUGAGAGAAUUUAAGGAGAUUCAGCAGAAAGGUGAGUUUGCUGAAGAGCUGGCUGCUCUACAGGAGGCAGAAAGAGGAAACAGUCAAGAUGCGCAUACGGACGUUAUUAAAGACAAAGCAGGGAAACAAACGAAAAAGGUGAGAUCAGAUACAUUACGCUUGAAUUCAGAAAGCAUUACUGAGAAGAGAAACUAUACUCCUCCUCCUUCUGCCAACAGUAAACAGGAAAGGAAUAAACUGGCUGAUAUUCCAAUUAUCUGCCCAGCUGGUGAGGAUUUUGUUUCACAGGAUACAGAGCUGUCAUCUUCAGCCAAAGAGGAUAGUUUACAGACUGAGCUCCUGGCAGAAGAAAUACCUUCUGGAGAUGAAUAUGAGUACACCACCAGAAGCUGUCAGAGGCAGAUGGUCGCCCGAGGAGAGAUUAGAAGUGCAUCAGAAAAGAACAGCAUGGUCAGCCUUUCUGGACAGGCGCCUAACUUCUCUCAGCUUCUGUCUAACAUAACCGUCACGGAAGGUUCUCCGGUAACUUUGGAAGUAGAAGUAACAGGAUUCCCAGAGCCUACACUGACAUGGUACAAGAAGGGCCAGAAACUGACUGCCGAUGAGCACGUAAAGCUUUGGCAAAAGGAGACAAAACACACGCUGUUCAUUCGGGAGGUGCGUGACAAAGACGCUGGCCUCUAUGUUGCUCGGGCUAACAAUUCGAAUGGUACUGUCUCGUCAAGUGCCGUGCUCCGUGUGAAAGUACAAGGAAAGCAGCCAAACUUCAUACGAAAAUUUGGACAUACAGCUCUACAAGAAGGAGAAGAUUUAAUCCUACAUUGCAGCAUAUAUGGGAGGCCCAAACCACAAGUCUCCUGGACUAAGGAUGAUAUUCCAGUGACAGCUCGAGGAGGCAUCAACACUGAGAAAUUAGGAGACACCUAUUACCUCUUAAAAAGAAAUGUAGUGCUUGCUGACAGUGGGAAGUAUAUCUGUGUUGCCAGCAAUGAAGCUGGGAAGGCAUACUGUUCAGCUCUCGUAACAGUGAGAGAGAAAAACAAAAACCCAGAAAUUGCCUCUGUAACUCAGACUAAAACAGAAUGGGAACAUGAAUACCUGUCAGGAAAAGUGAGUGGCACUACCCGUGAACUAGUGCCAGCCCGGGGCACCUAUUACGUGAGAGGUCAAAGACCUGCGGCUAAGCAUCUGCCAGUAAGAUGCUAAACUAAGACUGAACAGCAUAAAGGCACAAAGUAUUCCAGAAGUUCAAAUGGAUACAACUACGUAUUUUUCUUAUGAUGUGCAGAUGAACUUUGGUUGUGGCAUAGGAAUACACUGUUAGCUAGCCUGUCUCAAACGGGUUUGCUACUCACGCACUGAAUCCUACAACUAUCUUCUGCGUCGUAGGUUACUUGAAAAAAUGAUUCCAUGAAAAUAGAUCAAUCCAUUUCCUUUCUAAGGGAGAAAGGAGCACAGUACUGCUUAUAUAUAUAGUGUCAAUGCUCAAGUUAGGGCAGUUGAUAUCAUAUAUACAAAUUCUCUUUUAUUAUCACAGUAUAUUAUUCAGUAUCACUAACAUUUAACAAAUGCUAAAAGAAACACACGGAAAACUCCAAUAGUCUGCGAUUUCUUAUUCCAGAAAGAUCACCAUCUUAACAACAUACUGGAUCUGUAAGUUAUCCUGUUACACAAGUGGCCUUUGACUUUUUUUGCAGGCAAACACUAAAAGAUUGUUUGUCUGCAAAAUAAUGCCAUAUUCAUGAUAACUUAAUUUUAAAAAUAUGACAUCAGCAAAUAAAAUGAGAUCUUCAAAGUAAAAUUGUGAGGUUUUCUUGAUAAAAGAAUUAUUUGACAGCUGUGCCACGUAGAAGACAGCUAAUAUUUUUAAUAUUUUGAAUCCUUAAUAAACAAAAGGAAAAAUUUCAUAAUGAAACAACAGACUGAGUUUGAAUGCCAAGAAGAAAUACCACUAGGGCAUGAAGUCUCAAGCAGUAAUAGAAUAUGUAAUCAAACUUUUCUAUUAGGUAAGCAUCUUAAGAAGUAGUAGUAGCAAUCCUAAUAGCACAGAACAGUCAUUAACUGUUAAUUCAUUAAGGAUGACAAAAUUCCUCAUGGUGCAACUUGAGAAAUUUAGUGUGAUAUAUGAAGUCAGUAGUUGUUUUGGUGACUUGCACAAAUAAUGUAAAGUAAAUUUUGCAAGGUAAAUUUUACCUUUUGAAUUCAGGCUCUUAUAUCCCACUGUAGUUUAUGCUGCUAAAAUCUUUUGAGCAGUGUGUUCGGAGCAAAAAAGUUCUUAUAUCCUGUGACAGUUAUCAGUUCACUGUUGACUUUGAAAUGUCAGAUUAGAAGAGGUAAGCCAGGGAUGACAAAGAAACCUGGAGUGCAAGACUCGAACUGGCUGGGCAAGAAGGCUUGGAAGGGCAGGAUCUGCAGGUGGGUUGGCGACCGCAGUUGUGACGCAGAAAUGGUGAUUCCUGCUAAGGAAACACGUUCCACAAGAAGAGCUGAGAGAACCAAAAUAGCUUUCCUGUGGUGAAAAUACUGCUCUACUGCUUUCUUGCCUUUGCUUGUUUACUUUUAUUCCAAUUGAAGUGAAUGUUUAAAUAUAGAAAAUUUCAUGAAACACUUCUGAAAAACGUUUAGGUGUAUCAAAACUUUACUUGAGUAAUACUGAUAUAGUUCAACAAAAGUGAACAAUUCUGCUAGUAAUGCUUAUUACAUGUUUGUCAAAAUAGUGAGACCAUUUUACAGUGAAAAUCUGGUUUCAUAAUGACAAAAUAAACCAGCUUCCUUCAUGGAAGGUGUUUGGAGGAAUGUAUUGGGAAAGAGGCUUCAUGACUCUCAUGCCUUUAAAGAAGUAAUGAUUAAUGUGACCUGGGAAAAUAGCUGCAAAUCUGUGGGAUUCCUGGUCUGUCAAUGUCUGCUUAAAAUGUUAGAUUUACACUGUUCACAUAAAAAAUUAUAACCUGAAAAAUGCUUGAAUGUUUUCUGAGCUUUUCAUGUAAAGUGAAUACUAUAGAAGAAAGAGCUAGAAUGGUGGGUUUUUUCUUCUUUUCUCAGGUACAGUUGUGUGCCUAGAUAUUGAACAACUUGUAAAAGGAAAGGAAAAUUGUUGCAUAUGUUGAUUCAAAAGCUGUUCUCAUUUCAUUAAAGGCUAUGUUUACACUCUCA